rnacentral:tRNA from 1 species
GUAGCUCAGUGGGAGAGCGCUUCCUUGACGCGGAAGAGGUCGGCGGUUCAAUCCCGCCC